rnacentral:rRNA from 1 species
GACGAACGCUGGCGGCGUGCUUAACACAUGCCAGUCGAACGGAAAGGCCCUGCUUUUGUGGGGUGCUCGAGUGGCGAACGGGUGAGUAACACGUGAGUAACCUGCCCUUGACUUUGGGAUAACUUCAGGAAACUGGGGCUAAUACCGGAUAGGAGCUCCUGCUGCAUGGUGGGGGUUGGAAAGUUUCGGCGGUUGGGGAUGGACUCGCGGCUUAUCAGCUUGUUGGUGGGGUAGUGGCCUACCAAGGCUUUGACGGGUAGCCGGCCUGAGAGGGUGACCGGCCACAUUGGGACUGAGAUACGGCCCAGACUCCUACGGGAGGCAGCAGUGGGGAAUAUUGCACAAUGGGCGGAAGCCUGAUGCAGCAACGCCGCGUGCGGGAUGACGGCCUUCGGGUUGUAAACCGCUUUCGCCUGUGACGAAGCGUGAGUGACGGUAAUGGGUAAAGAAGCACCAGCUAACUACGUG